rnacentral:rRNA from 1 species
CGAAUCAUUGGCAAUGCGCGCAAGCGUGACCAUGCAACGCCGCGUGGGCGAUGAAGGCCUUCGGGGUGUAAAGCCCUGCCAGGGGUGAGGAAACGUACGGGUCCACUCGUACUUGACGUUAGCCCAAGAGGAAUUCACGGCUAACUCCGUGCCAGCCGCCGCGGGAAGACGGAGGUGGCAAACGUUGCUCGGAAUCACUGGGCUUAAAGGGCGUGUAGGCGGUUGAUCAAGUCGGGUGUGAAAUCCCUCGGCUUAACCGAGGAACGGCAUUCGAUACUGGUUGGCUAGAGUGCGGGAGGGGUAAGUGGAACUCCAGGUGUAGCGGUGAAAUGCGUAGAUAUUUGGAGGAACGCCGGUGGCGAAAGCGACUUACUGGCCCGCAACUGACGCUGAGGCGCGAAAGCUAGGGGAGCAAAC